rnacentral:rRNA from 1 species
GCCUAACGGCUGAACUGGCAACUUGGAGAAGUGGCAAGUUUUAUAAUUAAUAGUAAUUUAUAUUUCUAUUUUUAUAAAAUUCUAUUAGGAUUGAAUGAAGCUUUGUUUAUAUAUUGAUAAUGACAGUAUAUAUAUCGUGUCUUGGCCAAUUACGUGCCAGCAGCCGCGGUAAUACGUAAGAGACUAGUGUUAUUCAUCUUAAUUAGGUUUAAAGGGUACCCAGACGGUCAAUAUACCUUCUAGAAUGUUAGUACUUGACUAGAGUUUUAUGUAAGAGGGCAGUACUUGAGGAGGAGAGAUGAAAUUCCGUGAUACCAAAGGGACUCAGUAAAGGCGAAGGCAGCCCUCUAUGUAUAAACUGACGUUGAAGGACGAAGGCACAGAGAACAAACAGGAUUAGAUACCCUAAUAGUCUUUGCAGUAAAUGAUGAAUGCCAUAGGUCAGAUAAUUGUCUGGUCUAUAAAUGAAAGUGUAAGCAUUUCACCUCAAGAGUAAUGUGGCAACGCAGGAACUGAAAUCACUAGACCGUUUCUAACACCAGUAGUGAAGU